rnacentral:rRNA from 1 species
AAUGAACGUUGGCGGAGCGGAUUAUGCAUGCAAGUCGCGCGAUUUCCUUCUGGGAAGAGCGGCGGAAGGGAGAGUAACGCGUAGAUACCUACCCUCGGGCCGGGAAUAGCGACGGGAAACUGUCGGUAAUGCCAGAUAACGUCACUGGACCAAAGGUGUGAAUCCGCCUGAGGAGUGGACUGCGUCCUAGUAGCUAGUUGGCGGGGCGACGGCCCACCAAGGCGAAGAUGGGUACCGGGCGUGAGAGCGUGACCCGGCGCACUGGGACUGAGACACUGCCCAGACACCUACGGUUGGCUGCAGUCGAGAAUCUUCGGCAAUGAGCGCAAGCUUGACCGAGCGACGCCGCGUGCGGGAUGAAGGCUUUCGGGUUGUAAACCGCUGUCAGUGGGGAGGAAAUUCUUGGGGGUACUCCCCCUUGAUUGACCGAUCCGCAGAGGAAGGACGGGCUAAGUUCGUGCCAGCCGCCGCAGUAAGAC